rnacentral:rRNA from 1 species
AUGGGGCUGAUGGGGCUGAACCGGCUCAUGUCCACGCAGCGGAAGCGGAAGCAGAGGCGGAAUCGUUGCCGUAUCCAAGCCCUCGGUAAUCCCCGCGACAUAGAUGGAUGGAGUGCUGCUUCAUCGGUAUCUAAAGCAGACAGCCCACUCUGCCGACAUGAUGUUAGUUCCCAUGGUGGCAAAGAAGCAAGAUAUCUGGAUCCAGUCCUUCCAGAGGAAGUUUGGUGUCGUAUAUAUUCAUUACUACAGAUGCAAGACGCUGCCUGUGCCGCCUGUGUUUCUCGCUCCUUCCUAGGCUACUGGAGAUGCUACCCCAAUCUCACCUUCACCAAUGAAACAAUGUGCCCUAAAGAAAAUCUAAAGACAGCGGGAUCAAAUGUUAUAAGAGACUACAACAACCAAAUCGACCGUGUUCUGACGAACCGCUCGAGCGCUGAUGGUGUGGCGAAACUCAAGCUUGACUACCAUGUUCCUCCUGAUGGCGCUGAAUCGUAUCAUCGUCUUGAUAGCUGGCUCCAGAUGGCUGUUACGCCGAGGACCAAAGAACUCGAGCUUCUAGUAUGGUCGAAAGAGGCGAGCUUUGAUUUCCCAUGCAUACUACUAUCUGACAUGUGUGGGGGCUCGAUUCAGAAGCUUUUGCUUUUCAAAUGCGCCUUGCGUCCCACAUCUCAACUUGGUUUGAGAAGCCUCAGAACACUGCAUCUGCGUGAUGUGCGUGUCACAGGGGAGGAAUUAGGGUGCCUUCUGUCCAGUUCCAUUGCUUUGGAGCACCUGAAGCUUGUAUACUGCGAUGAUAUAGUUCGCCUGGAGAUACCUUGCCUGUUGCAGAGGCUUAGCUUCCUGGAGGUGGCUGGAUGCAUGAAUCUUCAAGUGAUAGAGAACAAAGCUCCAAAUCUCUCCCAAUUUUAA